rnacentral:rRNA from 1 species
CAUGCAGGCGGCUCAUUACGCAUGGCGUGAAAGCCCCCGGCUCAACCGGGGAGGGUCGUCGUGAACGGGUGAGCUUGAGGGUAUCAGGGGCUGGUGGAAUUCCCGGUGUAGUGGUGAAAUGCGUAGAUAUCGGGAGGAACACCUGUGGCGAAGGCGGCCAGCUGGGAUACACCUGACGCUGAGAUGCGAAGGCGUGGGGAGCGAACGG